CCUACGGGAGGCAGCAGUGAGGAAUAUUGCACAAUGGAGGAAACUCUGAUGCAGCGAUGCCGCGUGAGUGAAGAAGGCCUUUGGGUUGUAAAGCUCUUUCGUCGGGGAAGAAAAUGACUGUACCCGAAUAAGAAGGUCCGGCUAACUUCGUGCCAGCAGCCGCGGUAAUACGAAGGGACCUAGCGUAGUUCGGAAUUACUGGGCUUAAAGAGUUCGUAGGUGGUUGAAAAAGUUAGUGGUGAAAUCCCAGAGCUUAACUCUGGAACUGCCAUUAAAACUUUUCAGCUAGAGUAUGAUAGAGGAAAACAGAAUUUCUAGUGUAGAGGUGAAAUUCGUAGAUAUUAGAAAGAAUACCAAUUGCGAAGGCAGCUUUCUGGAUCAUUACUGACACUGAGGAACGAAAGCAUGGGUAGCGAAGAGGAUUAGAUACCCUCGUAGUCCAUGCCGUAAACGAUGUGUGUUAGACGUUGGAAAUAUAUUUUCAGUGUCGCAGGGAAACCGAUAAACACACCGCCUGGGGAGUACGACCGCAAGGUUAAAACUCAAAUGAAUUGACGG
rnacentral:rRNA from 1 species